GCCGGCUGUGACUUCUCCGAAUCCGGCACCGCCUACUAAAGCCUGCUGCGCCGCGCUGUCGCACGCCAACCUGAGCUGCCUUUGCUCCUACAAGAACUCCAGUGUCUUGCCUUCUCUGGGAAUUGACCCUAACCUUGCCCUACAGCUUCCCGCCAAGUGCAAGCUUCCCCAUCCUGCCAAUUGCUAGACAGAGCGACGUACACAAUGGUCUAAUCAACAAACAUGAUUUAGUUACGAUUAAGAUAUGAUUAAUCGUGUAAUCAUGUACAACUUUGGAUAAUUAAUAUGCUUUCCUAUGUGUAAUGUAAGCAUGUUUAGUUGGAUGUGUGCGUUUGUCCAAUUUGCUAUCAUGUUAUGUAAUAUUAUUAAUAAUACAAAUCUCGUUUUUUUUUUUUUUUCCGGUAACAAGCCUCUUUGAAUACAAAUUUUAGGGACAGGACUUACCACAGGCCUCUUUCAAUACAAAUCUCGGCUUUCACAUAAGUGGUUACGUUCAAAUUAUUGAAUAUAUAAUUAAGAUUGCAGUCACAUAUUUCACAUAUAACUCUAGUUUUUUUAUAUGGUUUUCGAGAGAAGAAAUUUAUUAAGCUAAUAGGCUCCAGCAAGUGAGGAAUAUCUCCCAUCAAAAUUUCACAAGUAUUAUCUCUACUAAUUAAUGAAAUCCUUUUUGUCAACCAAAAGAAAGUGAAAAAAACAAUUAGUCUUCUAUCACAAAAAAAAAAAAAUUGAUGGGCAAUAAUGUAAUUUCACAGGUUCAAAUUUUAUUGUUUUUUAUUAAAACCUCACCUACAGGUGAUGUUAAAAUACCUCCAAUAUUAUUAUAAAAAAAACAACCAUAAACAAAAACCUUCCACUCCACCCAUGUUCUCUCUCUCUCCCUCUCUCCUUCUCAUUUUCUAAAAAAAAUGUGUUCAUACACACAAAGUGUGUAGGCAAAUGUUAGUAAUUAUUAAGAUGAUUAAGAUCUAAAGAUUCCUAAUCCUUCAACAGUGUGUGUGUGUGUGUGUGUGUGUGUGUGUGUGUGUGUGUGUGUGUGUGUAAUAACUGAACAACACUUUGGUUCCACAUUAAUUUGUAAAGAAAUUCCUUCACAAUUUUGUGAAGCCAAAAAAUUGUUCUUAAAAUGAUUCGUCGUCCAAAUGUGCUGAUGCAUCAACACAAUUUAAGAAAUUAAUUGGCAAUUUUAAGUCCCACGUUAAAUAUCCAAAGGUUAAAAUAUACUUUUGAGUUUUACUAUGAACUCUUGGAUAAUAUAAUAUAUACACGAAUGCAUUUUGAGUUGAGCAUAAUUCUUGUACAAAAUAAACAAAUGAACCUCUUAUACCAUAAGCUUUUAUGGAGAAGACGAGCAUCAUCUCCAAUAAUGUACAUACAAACGGGGGCCGUCAGACCGAUCUACUGGCGUCUACGGACGGUUCAACGCUCGAUGGAGAUACCUCUGCGCCGUAAUCCCAGAAUUGUUUCAGCUCGCGCCUUAUCAGUCCCAAAAUCACUACAACACCUGGUGACCAGAGAAGGAAUAAGAAGGCAAAGUAAAAUAUCUGCAAAUUUUAUCGGCCUAAAAUUGGAAAAACGCGUCUAGAAAACCAAACAGAAGAUGUAAGAUCAAUGCGCUGGAGAUUACCUAGUGUACAUGGAACGAGAUAGAGGAGUGCAGGCUGGCCGUUGCCAUUCAUGAGAUACAAACCCAGGUAAGUAAGACCGUGUCCUGGAAAAGGAAUAACGUUCCAUUUAAGACCGUGUCCUGGAAAAGGAAUAACGUUCCAUUAGUACCACAUGAGACAAUAUGGACAUGUUUAGUUCGAUCAUGCUGCAGUCUGCUAUUAAAAGGAAAUGAAAUAAAUACAGGAGCGUGAAAAUCACUACCGUAUCCAGAAUUCUAAUAACUAGGGCAAAUAAUACUAAUAACUACGGCAAGAACAAAAGAAGAAGAAAAGACAAGUAGGUUAGAAACUUAACAUAUGCAGACAAAAACAAGUGCGUUGAACUUAUCUGCAUCACAAGUAUAGAUCCCGUGACACCACAGCAUGGCCAACUUUUCGGUUCACGGGACCGCUGUCUGCAUGCAGUACUGCUCCUCCCAUUCCUUCCCACCACCACCACCACCACCAAUAAUAAUCCUUUGCUUCCAAGGUUAUAAAAAAACUAGGUGCUAGUUAGGCGGCAAACUGAGAUCUAAUGCCUAGGCGGUUAGGUGAGGCCUAGAAGGUGUCUGGGCGGACUAUGCGGAUUUAAGUAAAUUUAUUAUAUUUCGUAUAAAUAAAUAUUUGUUUAUACUUAAUAUUAUAUAUAUAUAUAUAUAUAUAUAAUUUCAUCACAAACUACAAAAUAGAAUGAUAUAUAUAUAUAUAUAUUAUGAAGUAUUGGAACACACUGAAAACAUGGGGAACAAACAUAUAAUGUGUGUUCAAUUAAGUAUUCAACAAGUCUCGCUUUCAAUUGAUUGAAAAAAAAAUGCAAAAUGAAAGUUAUCUAUUUUCUGUCUAAGUGAGUCGCAACCUAGACGAGUACUUAGACGGGCCUGGGAGGGCUAGGCAGGUGCCUAGGCGGUCUAGGCACCCCUUCUUAAUUUUGAAAUGCUUAGGCAUUAAUUGGGGUUGUGGCCAGCCGCCUAGCGCCGGGGAUUUUUAGAACAGUGUUUGCUUCUCAUUCCCCCUAUAAAACCCACCAACUUUGGAGCUCCAAAAACCACAACCUUAACGCACCAAACAAUUCCUAUAAGAAAAGAUAUGGAGGGUGCUCGUCAAAAGCUGGUCGUAGUUUUGGCUGCUGUGGUUUUGGUUGCAAUUGCAGGCAAUGGCGGUUUUGUUCAGGUUGCUAAUGCCCAGAACAUAUGCAACAUCUCUGUCACCGGUUUGAUGACUUGCAGGCCGGCUGUGACUUCUCCGAAUCCGGCACCGCCUACAAAAGCCUGCUGCGCGGCGCUGUCGCACGCCAACCUGAGCUGCCUUUGCUCCUACAAGAACUCCAGUGUCUUGCCUUCUCUGGGGAUUGACCCUAACCUUGCCCUACAGCUUCCCGCCAAGUGCAAGCUUCCCCAUCCUGCCAAUUGCUAGACAGAGCUACGUACAAAAUGGUGCAAUAAACAAACAUGAUUUAGUUACGAUUAAGAUAUGAUUAAUCGUGCAAUCAUGCACAACUUAGGAUAAUUAAUAUGCUUUCCUAUAUGUAAUGUAAGCAUCUUUAUAGUUUGGAUGUGUGCGUUUCUUUUGUCGUUCUAUUUCAAUUUGCUAUCAUGUUUUCGAUAUAAUGUAAUAUUAUUAAUAAUACAAAUCUCGGUUUUCUUUUUUUUUUCUUUUUUUCUUUUUCCGGUAACAAGCCUCUUUGAAUACAAAUUUUAGAAACGGAACUUACCACAAGCCUCUUUGAAUACAAAUCUCGGUUUUCACAUAAGUGGUUACGUUCAAAUUAUGGAAUAUAUAAUUAAGAUUGCAGUCACCUUUUUUCACAUAGAACUCUAGUUUUUUUGUAUGGUUUUCGAGAGAAAUGGAAUUUAUUAAGCUAAUAGGCUCCAGCAAGUGAGGAAUAUCCCCCAUCAAAAUUUCACGAGUAAUAUAACUAUUAAGGUGAUUAAGAUCUAAAGAUUCCUAAUCUUUCAACAAUAUAUAUAUAUAUAUGGGAUAAGAUCAAGGGACAAAUAUUUUUACAAAUACUUUUACACUCUUUUUAAGCCUUUUGAUUACAUGACAUCCAAUGGUUCUUAUUUAUUCAUUAAAUGACAUGGAUGCUUAUGUGGAUUUUAACUAAUAUUAAAGAUAAAAAAAAACAGAAAAAAAAAUAUAAAACUGGAAAAUUAAAACUAAAAUUAAAAAAGGAAGAAGCUCUAGUUGUACACAUUCCUCCUUCUCCCCCUUUGCUAAUGUGGUUUUGCAACUUCAUGUCCUGGAUUGAUACGAAAUUAUGAUGCCUUCUACAAGAAGCUCUAGUUGUGAUUUCUGCAGCUCUCGUUUCAAAUUUCCAACCAUCUUGCCGACCCCAACCUAUAGCAUGACCUGCAACAUGAAGUUGCAAAACCACAUCAGCAAAGGGGGAGACGGAGGACUACGUACAACUAGGGUUUCUUCCUUUUUUUAAUUUUAGUUUUCAUUUUCCAGAUUUUAUGUUUUUUUUAGUUUUAUUUUAUCUUUAAUAUUAGUUAAAAUCCACAUACGCAUCUAUGUCAUUUAAUGAAUAAAUAAGAACAAUUAGAUGUCAUGUGUUUGUACCAUACUUGACCAAUCCCGAAACUACUGAGCACCGGUCAACGUUAUACCGUCAAGGACCCAGAAGAGUUUCCCUCCAACCAGGUGGAGGCCAAUCACAGCGCGACACGUGUCGAUAUCAGAAGCCAAUCAUAGCGCGACACGUGUCAACAUCAGAAGUCAAGCACAACACGACACGUGUCAAUGUCAGAACAAAGCUAGAAACUCUCUUCUAUAAAAGGAGAUCAUUCUCCCACAAUAUUUCCUAAUGUCAUUUGUACUAAAUCAUUCACUAGUACUCACUAAAUGAGAGCUUGAAUCUAUGUACUUGUGUAAACCCUUCAUAAUUAAUGAGAACUCCUCUACUCCGUGGACGUAGCCAAUCUGGGUGAACCACGUAGAUCUUGUGUUUGCUUCCCUGUCUCUAUCCAUUUACAUACUUAUCCACACUAGUGACCGAAGCAAUCUAGCGAAGGUCACAAACUUGACACUUUCUGUUGUACUAAAGUUCUCACUGAUUUUGUGCAUCAACAUCAUGUAAUCAAAAAGCUUAAAAAGAAUGUAAAAGUAUUUGUAAAAAUAUUUGUCCUUUGAUCCUAUCCCUAUAUAUAUAUAUAUAUAUAUAUAUAUGGGAGCAAAGUUGCAUUUGAUCGAAUGAAAUUACCGGAACAUCCUCAAAAAAAAACAUAAAAGUUGGGUUAUGACAGUUUGAGAGGCUAAUUCUAAAAUAAUAAGAGAGAAAUUAAUUAAAAGGAAAACUAAUGAAAAGGGCUUGAAAACUUUGAGUUUUAAUGAUAAGGACAAAAUAAAGGGUAAAGUGAAUAGUACCAGGAUUGACUUUUUAGUGUAAAAAUGUGGUUUUUCGUUAAAGUGAACAGUACCGGGUGCUUUUCGUUAAAGUUCCCUUAAUUAAAACUGGAGACCGUUUAGUUGGUCAAACAUAAACAAAAAGAUAAAUGGCCUACCAACUCAAACCAUCUAUUCCAACCUCAAAUUUUAUAAUUCAUUGCAAAAUUGUUUUUUGCAUAGUGAAUUAUAAUAUGAACGGUUCCAAUAACUGAACAACACUUUGGUUCCGCAUUAAUUUGUAAAGAAAUUCCUUCACAAUUUUGUGAAGCCAAAAAAUUGUUCUUAAAAUGAUUCGUCGUCCAAAUGUGCUGAUGCAUCCACACAAUUUAAGAAAUUGAAUUGGCAAUUUUAAGACCACGUUAAAUAUCCAAAGGUUAAAAUAUACUUUUGAGUUUUACUAUGAACUCUUGGAUAACAUAAUAUAUACAUGAAUGCAUUUUGAGUUGAGCAUAAUUCUUGUACAAAAUAAACAAAUGAACCUCUUAUACCAUAAGCUUUUAUGGAGAAGACGAGCAUCAUCUCCAAUAAAGUACAUACAAACGGGGGCCGUCAGACCGAUCUACGUACUGGCGUCUACGGACGGUUCAACGCUCGAUGGAGAUACCUCUGCGUUGUAAUACCAGAGUUGUUUCAGCUCGUGCCUUAUCAGUCCCAAAAUCACUGUAACACCUAGUGACCAGAGAAGGAAUAGAAGGCAAAGUAAAACAUCUGCAAAUUUUACCGGCCUAAAAUUGGAAAAACGCGUCUAGAAAACCAAACAGAAGAUGUAAGAUCAAUGCGCUGGAGAUUACCUAGUGUACAUGGAACGAGAUAGAGGAGUGCAGGCUGGCCGUUGCCAUUCAUGAGAUACAAACCCAGGUAAGUAAGACCGAGUCCUGGAAAAGGAAUAACGUACCAUUAGUACCACAUGAAGACAAUAUGGACAUGUUUAGUUCGAUCAUGCUGCAGUCUGCUAUUAAAAGGAAAUGGAAUAAAUACAGGAGCGUGAAAAUCACUACCGUAUCCAGAAUUCUAAUAGCUAGGGCAAGUAAUACUAAUAACUAGGGCAAGAACAAAAGAAGAAGAAAAGACGAGUAGGUUAGAAACUUAAAAUAUGCAGACAAAAACAAGUGCGUUGAACUUAUCUGCAUCACAAGUAUAGAUCCCGUGAAACCACAGCAUGGCAACUUUUCGGUUCACGGGACCGCUGUCUGCAUGCAGUACUGCUCCUCCCAUUCCUUCCCACCACCACCACCAAUAAUAAUCCUUUGCUUCUCAUUCCCCCUAUAAAACUAAAGCAGCAGAGAACCGACUGGCUGCGUGCAUUCCCUCCACAACACCCCAACGCGUAAGUUAAUCAGGAUGGAUCGACAGGCUUUCCAAACCUACAGGUCUCUAUGGAGGGUGCUCGUCAAAAGCUGGUCGUAGUUUUGGCUGCUGUGGUUUUGGUUGUAAUUGCAGGCAAUGGCGGUUUUGUUCAGGUUGAUAAUGCUCAGAACAUAUGCAACGUCUCUGUCACCGAUUUGAUGACUUGCAGGGCGGCUGUGACUUCUCCGAAUCUGGCACCGCCUACAAAAGCCUGCUGCGCGGCGCUGUCGCACGCCAACCUGAGCUGCCUUUGCUCCUACAAGAACUCCAGUGUCUUGCCUUCUCUGGGGAUUGACCCUAACCUUGCCCUACAGCUUCCCGCCAAGUGCAAGCUUCCCCAUCCUGCCAAUUGCUAGACAGAGCGACGUACACAAUGGUCUAAUCAACAAACAUGAUUUAGUUACGAUUAAGAUAUGAUUAAUCGUGCAAUCAUGUACAACUUCGGAUAAUU
rnacentral:lncRNA from 1 species